UACGUAGGGUGCAAGCGUUAAUCGGAAUUACUGGGCGUAAAGCGUGCGCAGGCGGUUAUGUAAGACAGUUGUGAAAUCCCCGGGCUCAACCUGGGAAUUGCAUCUGUGACUGCAUAGCUAGAGUACGGUAGAGGGGGAUGGAAUUCCGCGUGUAGCAGUGAAAUGCGUAGAUAUGCGGGAGGAACACCGAUGGCGAAGGCAAUCCCCUGGACCUGUACUGACACUGGAGGCACGAAAAGCGUGGGGGAG
rnacentral:rRNA from 1 species